GCACAUCUUUGAGCCAGAAGCCUGAGAGUCACCUUUGAUUCCUUCUCUUUCUAACUAGCAAGUCCUGCCUGUGCCACCUCUAAGAGGCAUCUUACACCCAUCUGCAUUUCACUUUACCUUCCAGAAGGCAUCUCAAGAUGAAGGUUUCCUAUUUGUGAUUAUGAAAAAAAUGUCAAGAACAAGUCCCUUGGUGUUCUUAGACCAAAGUCAGAACAACAGACCUAGUAUUUGUCUGGGGCUGGCUGUGCACCCAGAAGGCCAUUCGUUCCAUGAAGAACAUGACAGAGGUACCUGGUCCUACCUGGAUUCUUGGGCAUGCGGGCAGCAGCAGCAGCAGCAGCCACAGUGAACUUCAUCCUAAGGAAAUUAAGCACACGUUGCGUGAGGCUGCUGUGGGGGUGCCAGGUGCUGAGGUUUCUGUAGUGGAUAAAACACAAAAAUACCAGCCCUCAUGGUGAAAAUGGAAUGACAAUAAACAAGAUAAAUUAGAUCUAUGCAACAAAACCAAGCCUUUGUGCACAUCUGUGGUUGUGACCAGUUGGAGAGACAUUAGGAGAUGAGAUACUAUGUUCACUCCUCACAGCUGUACCAGGGACCUGAGAUAUUCCGUCACUAUUCUAUGAGAUUUUGGAGAUCCCACCAGUGGUUUUCCGGUGCCAGGGUAUGAGAAGAUAGUCUCCAUGUCCAAACUCACAAUUUCAGAACAAAUUUCAUCAAGAUAAAGGCCUGGGCUGGUGAAUGGUUCCUGCUUUCACUAUUCCAGAUGUCCAGCUCUGUACCUUGCUGCUCUCCUUAAAGCCUGCCUCCCUCUAGAUGGUCUGGCUUGAUGAUAUCCAACCUGACGUGGCCUGAAGAGACAGACAGUGGCUCUUGCUAGCUAAUUAUUGUCAGAUGGAUCGGCAGCCGACCAACGCUUCUGAAACUAUUGUUUUUGGCAAAUGUUCCUCAACAUUUUCCUGGGAGCUAUGGUGCAUUACUCACGAGUGACAGAACCAACGAGCUUCAUCUCCCAAGAGGCUGGUGCAUCUGUUUAAAGGAGCAGGCACUAGGCAGAGCAGCCCCCACCCCACCCUCCAUGGCAGAGUGCAGUGGGGGAAGAAGUUUUCAUAGAAAUGCUUUCUAUAAAGCAUUUUCAUAGAGAAAGCAGGUUCAUAUAGAAAGCACUGGCUGCUGGUUGGAGUGGAGAGAUUGAAGACCCUCAUCUAGGAUCAAGCAACCCCCAGAAAACAAUUUUAAACAUGUCCAUUCAGACAAAAGGAGUCCAAAACCAUAAGAUCCUCUCAGCAUCCUGAACUAAUGUCCAGCUGUUAUCUCGAUGGGGAAACUGAGGCACAGAGAGGUUAGAGAUAUGCCUGAAGCCACACAGCUUGCAAGUGGUGGAUCUGGGAUUUGAACUUGUCGAUCUGGCUGCAGAGCUGAGCUCUUGGAGACUAGGUUUUACUGCCUAGUAGCAUGUAAGCCUGGAACUGCCGGCAGUCAUUUUGUAAGUUUGCCGAGUGAACCUCAAUGAGCAUGAAGCAGAGAGGAAAGCAGUACUAAGAGAUGCAAAAGAGUCUGUGUUCCAGCAAUGGGAUCUGAAGUCCUGGAUCAAACCUUACCUGGAGACAAGAUUUACCCAUCAGACAUGCCAGUUAUAAGACCCAAAUUUACCCUUUUUGGGGGAUUGAGUUUGAAUGAGUAUUUUUGUUUGUUUGUUUUGGCAUCAGAAAGACUCCUGAUUAAUACACAGUGUGACGCUGACCAAGAUGCUUCCUUUCUCUAGGACUCAAUUUUCUUAUCUGUAAAGUAAAGGGUUCAUCAACAUUCUUUGGUUGAAUCUUACCUGAAACAUUUUGUGAGCCUUCACCAAUCUCAUCUAAGCCUUUGUUUCCAUAGAACAAAGCCCUUUAAGAAAGGAGGGGAAAGUGUCAUGGAGUCUUACUGUCCUGAGUGCAAAUAUGGUCUCUGUAUUGUCCUUAUCUGUUCAUUUUCUGCCUCUCAGUACUAGAAUGAAAACUCUGGAAGAAGAAG
rnacentral:lncRNA from 1 species